UUCCUGGAGGACUGGUGGUUAGGCCACAGUGCUCUCACCACUGCAGCCCGGGUUCGAUUCCCAGCCAGGGAA
rnacentral:tRNA from 1 species